UAGGGAAUUUUCGUCAAUGGGGGGAACCCUGAACGAGCAAUGCCGCGUGUGUGAAGAAGGUCUUCGGAUCGUAAAGCACUGUUGUAAGUGAAGAAUGCCACAUAGAGGAAAUGCUAUGUGGGUGACGGUAGCUUACCAGAAAGCCACGGCUAACUACGUGCCAGCAGCCGCGGUAAUACGUAGGUGGCAAGCGUUAUCCGGAAUCAUUGGGCGUAAAGGGUGCGUAGGUGGCACGAUAAGUCUGAAGUAAAAGGCAACAGCUCAACUGUUGUAUGCUUUGGAAACUGUCGAGCUUGAGUGCAGAAGGGGGUCGAUGGAAUUCCAUGUGUAGCGGUAAAAGUGCGUAGAUAUAUGGAGGAACACCAGUGGCGAAGGCGGUCGCCUGGUCUGUAACUGACACUGAUGCACGAAAGCGUGGGGAGCAAAUAGGAUUAGAUACC
rnacentral:rRNA from 1 species